rnacentral:rRNA from 1 species
UACGGGGGGUGCGAGCGUUGUCCGGAAUCACUGGGCGUAAAGGGCGCGUAGGUGGUUUGAUAAGGGUGUGGUGAAAGUCCGGGGCUCAACUCCGGAACUGCCAUUGAUACUGCUUAGCUUGAAUCACGUCGAGGUGGAUGGAAUAUUACAUGUAGCGGUGAAAUGCUUAGAUAUGUAAUAGAACACCGAUUGCGAAGGCAGUUCACUAGGCGUGUAUUGACACUGAGGCACGAAAGCGUUGGGGAUCAA